AUUGAACGCUGGCGGCGUGCUUUACACAUGCAAGUCGAACGGCAGCGCGGGCUUCGUCCUGGCGGCGAGUGGCGAACGGGUGAGUAAUGCAUCGGAACGUGCCCAGUAGUUGGGGAUAGCACGACGAAAGCCGGAUUAAUACCGCAUACGACCUGAUGGUGAAAGCGGGGGACCGAAAGGCCUCGCGCUAUUUGAGCGGCCGAUGUCGGAUUAGCUAGUUGGUGGGGUAAAGGCUUACCAAGGCGACGAUCCGUAGCUGGUCUGAGAGGACGACCAGCCACACUGGAACUGAGACACGGCCCAGACUCCUACGGGAGGCAGCAGUGGGGAAUUUUGGACAAUGGGGGCAACCCUGAUCCAGCCAUGCCGCGUGCGGGAAGAAGGCCUUCGGGUUGUAAACCGCUUUUGUUCGGGAAGAAAUCCUCUGGGCUAAUACCCCGGGGGGAUGACGGUACCGGAAGAAUAAGCACCGGCUAACUACGUG
rnacentral:rRNA from 1 species